GGCAGUGUAGUGUAAUGGUUAGAGAGCUGAGCUUUCACCUCAGGGAUUGCAGGUUCGAUUCCCAUCUGCAA